AGGGACAGGAGCACACACCAUGAUUACACACAUCCAGCUGAUCUGGCCCCUGGCAUUCUGUGUCGCAGGUAUCAAUGGGGAGAUUAUCAUGACCCAGUCUCCCCCGGUGCUGUCAGUGGAACUGGGCCAGACUGCAACCAUCACCUGUACGGCCAGUCAAAGCAUUAGCAGCUACCUCAGUUGGUACCAGCAGCGAGAAGGUCAGAAACCCUCUCUCCUGAUCUAUGCUGCAACAUCUCGAUUCACAGGAGUCUCCGAGCGAUUCACCGGCAGUGGAUCAGGGACCAGUUACACCCUGACAAUCAGCAACGUUCAGAGUGAGGAUGUCGCUGACUAUUACUGUCAGCAGGAUUACAGACUCUCACUGUGGGACACGUUCGGUAAAGGAACCAAGCUCAGACUGAGCCGUGAGAACUCUCAGCCCAAGCUGACCCUGCUGCCCCCCUCCCCGGAGCAGGUCAAUGCCAAGGGCACUGCCACCCUGGUGUGCCUUGCCAAUCACUUCUAUCCCGAUGAGCUGGAGGUGCAGUGGAAGAAGGACGGUGCAGUCAUUUCGGACGGGGUUCAGACCAGCAACUACCUGCGAGCUUCGGACAGCACCUACAGUGUCAGCAGCCUGCUGACCCUCUCUGGGUCUGACUGGGAGUCCGACGCUCGCUUCUCC